rnacentral:rRNA from 1 species
UACAGAGGGGGCAAGCGUUGUUCGGAAUUACUGGGCGUAAAGGGCGCGUAGGCGGCCUGUUAAGUCGAAUGUGAAAUCCCUGGGCUCAACUCAGGAACUGCGUCCGAUACUGGCAGGCUUGAAUUCGGGAGAGGGAUGUGGAAUUCCAGGUGUAGCGGUGAAAUGCGUAGAUAUCUGGAGGAACACCGGUGGCGAAGGCGGCAUCCUGGACCGAUAUUGACGCUGAGGCGCGAAAGCCAGGGGAGCAAACGGG